UCCAUAAAUAGCGCAUAUCACUUCGGCAGUUAUCGGACGAUGUCGGUAUUUUCCGGAAUUUUCAUUCAGGAACUUAGUUUUAUUUUAUUUUUUACAUUUUUGAAUAUCAUUUAAUAAAACCAUUAAUAAAAAGACAAAUACAUAAAGAAUUUUUACCAAUAGUUUUCUGUUAUCAAAAAAUUACGGAGUUCUCGUCUACUCUCUUACAACGAGAUGCAAUGGCGGCGCCCAUGAAAAAACAUUGCGAAUGCCGAUUUAAAAAAAUAAACAAUGAUAAACGUUUCACAUUAGAAUUAACAGUCUAUCGAGUGAUCAUAUGGUACGAUGGGCGCCAAAAAAUUAUCAUUUAUUGUGCUAACAAGACCUGUCGGCUCUGAAUAUGCUGUGAAUAGCCUAAAACAUCCGGGUUGACGUCAUUUCGACAUGUACAAUGAUCAGAUGAUAUAGAAAAAGUAGGCAUCGAAAACAACGAUUGUCCACAAAACGCUUGAUUUAGCAAUGGUCUGUGUUGAUGCUAUUUUCUCUGAAAGCAAACUGUCAGUAAUCUGCAGCCAUUCAGCUACUGUUCCAGAAACUUGAAGAAAGGCGUAAAAAGUGAGCUGCCAUUACCACAGUACCUCAGAUAUGUAGGAACCAUGACAUUCGGGCAUUUCUGUUCUGUUGAAAUAAUACUUGAGCUGGAACCAUGACAUGAAAGAAGACCUUAGGAAAUAUAUGCAAGUGGAGAUUGAGACAUUAAAUUUGAAAAAUGAAAAGACUUAUGAAGCAAAUAGCAAGUUCUGAAUGCUUCAAACUAACUGUUAGUAGACUUUGGAUGAUUUACUGCAAACAUAGGGCAAAAAAGACUCAGACACAAAUGUAUCAUAACAAUGCUUACAUGCCAAACUUCCAGGGCAUCUGUACAGGAGAAUUCAGUUGAAAGUCCAGGAGAUUUCAGAAUUUACAUUGUACCUAGUUUAAUAGUAUAAUUAAAAAGAUAGUUUUGAAUUCUUUUUAGUAAAUCUGAUUCAUUUUUAAAUCUACAAGGUAUUGUCAUCAUUUGUUGAUCUUUGUCAGCUUUGGUCUUGGUUAACAUUUUUGCUUAUGUUCCUCUUUUCUUCGAAACUAUAAGAAAUAUAGCUUUGAAACUUAGUUCACCUGUUUAUCAUCAUUAGAUAGCACAGAGUCAUAAUUCCCACUUCUGUCACUUUUUGGCAGAAUUAUGACCCCUUGUGUACCUAGAAAAUUGGAAUUUCUUGGUUAAAUAUUUGGUUAAAUUAAAUGUUUCAUACUUUAAGAGCUAUAGCUUGAAACUUUAUAUGCUUGUUUAUCAUCAUUAGUUGACUAAAUAGGUCAUGAACCAUAACUAUUGCUUGUAUUCUGUCAGAAUAUGGGCUUUUUAAAUUUGUAUUUCUUGGUCAAUUUUUUGUUUAGCUCGACUAUUUGAAGAAUAGGUAGAGCUAUCCUACUCAUCACGGCGUCAGCGUCGGCGUCACACCUUGGUUAAUUUUUUCGUACCAU
rnacentral:lncRNA from 1 species